AUAUAACAUUAAUCUAUUAUUCCGUUUCCGAAGAGUCGAGGGUCUGUGGCAGCCGCUCUGUUCUUCAAAGGUCGGAGUCACCGAUCAUGCUUUGCUUGAUCUGCUGCUUCAGCUGCUUGCAGAGACAUGGGCUUUUCUUCGUUCAUUAUCUGGGGUUUUUUGGGAGGAAAGAUUGAUUGAAUUUUGCAAAGCAAGAGAGAACUCACUAAGAAUCCCAAAUACUCGCUAUUCUUUUCUUAUGCUGCUGAUAUUGUUGUAGUUUUUGGAUGAUAUGAAGUAUGCUGAUCAUGCCCAGGUACCAAUUUUGGUUUUCGUGGACGGUUCAGCUUAGGAUUUCAUUGCUGAACAUAAUGAUUUCAAUUAAGCUACAUUGGCCCAACAUGGAUUUUCUGUGAGGUAUGUCUCUUGAGACUAUUUACUUCAAAUUGUUCUAUAAUGUGCCGCAAACAUAACUGCAGAUGUAUCAUUCAUCUUUCUACAAAGCAGUAUCGAAGAAAACAUUCUUCAUCCGAUUUUGAUACAUGAAUCCUUUCAGAAUAAAAGACUACAAACUUCGUAUGGAUUUCGAUA